CCUACGGGAGGCAGCAGUGAGGAAUAUUGGACAAUGGGCGCAAGCCUGAUCCAGCCAUGCCGCGUGCAGGAUGACGGUCCUAUGGAUUGUAAACUGCUUUUAUACGGGAAGAAACCCUGGCUCGUGAGCCAGAUUGACGGUACCGUAAGAAUAAGGAUCGGCUAACUCCGUGCCAGCAGCCGCGGUAAUACGGAGGAUCCAAGCGUUAUCCGGAAUCAUUGGGUUUAAAGGGUCUGUAGGCGGUUUAAUAAGUCAGUGGUGAAAGCCCAUCGCUCAACGGUGGAACGGCCAUUGAUACUGUUAGACUUGAAUUAUUAGGAAGUAACUAGAAUAUGUAGUGUAGCGGUGAAAUGCUUAGAGAUUACAUGGAAUACCAAUUGCGAAGGCAGGUUACUACUAAUUGAUUGACGCUGAUGGGCGAAAGCGUGGGUAGCGAACAGGAUUAGAUACCCUGGUAGUCCACGCCGUAAACGAUGGAUACUAGCUGUUGGGAGUAAGUCUCAGUGGCUAAGCGAAAGUGAUACGUAUCCCGACCUGGGGAGUACGUUCGCAAGAAUGAAACUCAAAGGAAUUGAACGGCGNGAGACGAGACGACGACGACGACGAGGGAGGAGG
rnacentral:rRNA from 1 species